UACGUAGGGGGCAAGCGUUGUCCGGAUUUAUUGGGCGUAAAGAGCGUGUAGGCGGCCAUACAGGUCAGCUGUGAAAACUCGAGGCUCAACCUCGAGACGUCGGUUGAAACCGUAUGGCUAGAGUCCGGAAGAGGAGAGUGGAAUUCCCGGUGUAGCGGUGAAAUGCGCAGAUAUCGGGAAGAACACCCAUGGCGAAGGCAGCUCUCUGGGACGGUACUGACACUGAGACGCGAAAGCGUGGGGAGCGAACAGG
rnacentral:rRNA from 1 species